CCUACGGGGGGCAGCAGUGGGGAAUAUUGGACAAUGGGGGGAACCCUGAUCCAGCCAUGCCGCGUGUGUGAAGAAGGCCCUCGGGUUGUAAAGCACUUUCAGUGAGGAAGAACGCCUGGUGGUUAAUACCCAUCAGGAAAGACAUCACUCACAGAAGAAGCACCGGCUAACUCCGUGCCAGCAGCCGCGGUAAUACGGAGGGUGCGAGCGUUAAUCGGAAUUACUGGGCGUAAAGCGCGCGUAGGUGGCUUGAUAAGCCGGUUGUGAAAGCCCCGGGCUCAACCUGGGAACGGCAUCCGGAACUGUCAAGCUAGAGUGCAGGAGAGGAAGGUAGAAUUCCCGGUGUAGCGGUGAAAUGCGUAGAGAUCGGGAGGAAUACCAGUGGCGAAGGCGGCCUUCUGGACUGACACUGACACUGAGGUGUGAAAGCGUGGGUAGCAAACAGGAUUAGAUACCCGUGUAGUC
rnacentral:rRNA from 1 species